rnacentral:rRNA from 1 species
CCAGACUCCUACGGGAGGCAGCAGUGGGGGAUAUUGCACAAUGGGGGGAACCCUGAUGCAGCAACGCCGCGUGAAGGAAGAAGGCCCUCGGGUUGUAAACUUCUUUUGUCAGGGACGAAGAAAGUGACGGUACCUGACGAAUAAGCCACGGCUAACUACGUGCCAGCAGCCGCGGUAAUACGUAGGUGGCAAGCGUUAUCCGGAUCUACUGGGUGUAAAGGGCGUGUAGGCGGGACUGCAAGUCAGAUGUGAAAUUCCAGGGCUCAACCCUGGACCUGCAUUUGAAACUGUAGUUCUUGAGUGAUGGAGAGGCAGGCGGAAUUCCGUGUGUAGCGGUGAAAUGCGUAGAUAUACGGAGGAACACCAGUGGCGAAGGCGGCCUGCUGGACAUUAACUGACGCUGAGGCGCGAAAGCGUGGGGAGCAAACAGGAUUAGAUACCCCAGUA